ensembl:lncRNA
GUUUGAGGGUUAGGGUUAGAGAGGGUUAGAAGGUUAGGGCAGAACAAGCUGGAUACACAUUUCGUACGUGUUAACCCCAUAUUUGCUCUCUUCCACCCCCAGAAGAACCACAACGCUAGUUAGUGUAAAGGUUGCCAUGCAAUGAUGUCACUAACUUUAGAACUUUUAACUCCAUGAACAUGGAUUAAACAUUCUGACUAAACUAGAUGCCUGUUUAACGGUUUGCCUGUUACGAUCUUAAACUCUCUCGUAGGGACAUCGCAGAUGUUCCCGCAUCUCAGCCAUCACUUUGACCAAUGUAAUGUUAUCAAUCGUUACGAACUACGGCAAAAACUGGAAUUAUCCUUUAAACGUUCCCAAUACCGAUCGGGCCGAUGAAACAUCUACCUACGAAAAGUGUCGCCGAGGAUGAUCGGCGUCAUCUACCUUCCAUUCAGUUCAUAGCCGAACCUUUCCAAGCAGCAUUUUGGGGAAUGUAUCAGCCAUAAUGGACCUUUAUGUUUUUCUAAAACAAAAUGAACUCUCUGAAUUCUCCCUCCGUGAGCUGCGAGUCGCCGCGUGUCAUGUUGAUGGUCCUCGACGGAAAAGCCGCUCUGUAACGCGGAUGGCGGGGAGAAACCUUUUGGCUUCCUCCCGCGCUUCCCUGGUCACGCUACACCCACCGACACGAGGGCGAAUCACCUCCCGACGCCCGUUGGUUGGCUUGUUUCUCUGUGCUCGGCUUCCGGGCGUCACUCACUGCACGCGGAAGUCGUGCGUGUUUUUCCAACAGGGACAAAUAGACACAAAUUGCACUACUAACCGUAUAAUGCAACAUAGUAGAAAGGCUGUGUUUCAUAGAUUCUGUUUGUGGAAUAGGUUUUUCUGUAGGUCCGAAGAACAAAUAAUACCGUGUACCGUACUCUUCAGAGGAGACUACAUCCCGUCCGCGUGGGUUUAUUUUGCGGUCACGUUGGACCGGACCGACGUCUUCUGUCGACCUUUUGGAUCCCGUGUCUGUACAGCGACCCCCUGUUUUUUUCGCCACGCAGGGAAGGAGUUGUCGAGAAUCGUUGCAGAGUGAGAUGAACAUUUUACAUAACAUUUUACAUUUGUAUGUUUUCUUUUCUUUUGGUGCGCGUGUGCAUGAUUUGGUGUGGGUGACUCCCUCUCGCACAGCCUGAGUGCAGCCAUCACACACUUGAAUAAAAUGAUGAGCCUCCUUCUGAAACCCUCUGUCUUGUUCUAACUGCUUAUUAUUGCCCAUGGGGUUUUACAUUGUUAAAAAAC